rnacentral:rRNA from 1 species
CCGUGAAAAAAUUAGAGUGUUCAAAGCAGGCAGAUCCAAUUUUCUGCCACCGAAUACAUUAGCAUGGGAUAAUGGAAUAGGACCCUGUCCUCCUAUUUUCAGUUGGUUUUGGCAGCGCGAGGACUAGGGUAAUGAUUAAUAGGGAUAGUUGGGGGCAUUAAUAUUUAAUUGUCAGAGGUGAAAUUCUUGGAUUUAUGAAAGAUUAACUUCUGCGAAAGCAUCUGCCAAGGAUGUUUUCAUUAAUCAAGAACGAAAGUUAGGGGAUCGAAGACGAUCAGAUACCGUCGUAGUCUUAACCAUAAACGAUGCCGACCAGCGAUUAGGAGACGUUGAAUACAAAACACCACCAUCGGCGCGGCCGUCCUUGGCCGUGCGUCUCGUUUCGGCGAGGCGUUUGGCGGGGGCGGCUUAGCCCGGUGGCACCGGUGAAUGA